rnacentral:lncRNA from 1 species
UAAGAGGCUUAUUUAUGCCUUUACACAACUCAGAUCAUAAACCUAGAUCCUAAGGCUGUAAAUUAAAGAUAAAUGGAUGGUUAGGAUGAGAGAAGACUGGUCUUGAUGUGGCUGGAGCUAGCUGGCGACUUGACUCAAGGUAAAGGGCUUAGAUUGCUUCAUUUGAAUUGGAUGGAUAAGAUGAGUCAAGGCUGUAAAGGUAAAGCACCUUUCCCUUUCCAGCUCAUACCAACAGCUCACCUUAUCCAUUUGAAUCUUCCCUUCCCUCCAAGUAUCCCAAACGGUCACAUAAGAUCAGAUUGAACCGCCCACACAUUGCACAUCUUGAUUUGGGCUGAACCGGAUGACUUGGGCGUGUGGAGUGGCCGUACGGUUGAUGGUACGGACCUCCUGUCCGUACCACUAUCCCUAACUAUGCACAAUGCCUUAUCUCCUUCUUGACUGACCCCAAACACCUUCAUGAUUCACCCUAGACCGUACAAG